GUCCAGACCGAACUUCCCGACCUCAAAUGAUGUGGGUGGGGCUAAGUUUGGCUGGCAUCCAGGCUAACACGAGAGUUAAGCGGGCCAAAACUGCCCAACUUUUCAAAUCUGUUUGGGAUUUAAAUUGAAAUGUUCUAAAACUGAAAAAAAGCUGAAAAUACAAAGAACUUUUGCUUGAUGAAUAAUUGAUACAUCCGUUUCAGCCCUAUUUUUUUUUUUUUUUACAACCUAAUAACACCUAAAGUCUCCAUGCUAUCUCCACCUUGGAUGUUUCAGUGAGUGCUGAUGGUCAUGUUGCUCUGUGUGCCGCAGCAAAGCUCGUUGUACACCAACCAAUCAGCGCGCAGCUCAUUUAAAUAUUCAUGAGCAGACCAUAUAAGGCAGAAAAGCUCUGGUUUCAAUCCUGGCCCAUUUAACAGGGUAGCAUGAGGGCCAAAAGAACAGCAAAAGGGACAUUUUUAACCCAACAUAUGUUACAUACACUAUUAGGAGACCUUAAGGAACAGCGUGAAAUACCCUAUAUAACCAUUCUAUCACCCCUUUAAUAGAUUAUAGAGAACUUUCCAGGUGAAUAUUUUUUUCAGACAAGAGUUUCUAACCAUCUUAAAUGAACCCUUUCAAACUUUAGAUGUUAAAACGAGCUGUGUGUCAGUGUAUGGCUGCUAGAAGGAGGAAAAAAAA